UACGUAGGCAGCGAGCGUUGUUCGGAGUUACUGGGCGUAAAGCGUGCGUAGGCGGUGUCUUAAGUUUGUUGUGAAAUUUCCCGGCUUAACCGGGAGGGUGCGGCGAAUACUGAGAUGCUGGAGUGCCGGAGAGGUAAGCGGAAUUCCUGGUGUAGCGGUGAAAUGCGUAGAUAUCAGGAGGAACACCUGCGGUGUAGACGGCUUACUGGACGGUAACUGACGCUGAGGCACGAAAGCGUGGGUAGCAAACAGG
rnacentral:rRNA from 1 species